CCUACGGGGGGCAGCAGUGGGGAAUAUUGGGCAAUGGGGGGAACCCUGAUCCAGCCAUGCCGCGUGUGUGAAGAAGGCCCUCGGGUUGUAAAGCACUUUCAGUGAGGAAGAACGCCUGGUGGUUAAUACCCAUCAGGAAAGACAUCACUCACAGAAGAAGCACCGGCUAACUCCGUGCCAGCAGCCGCGGUAAUACGGAGGGUGCGAGCGUUAAUCGGAAUUACUGGGCGUAAAGCGCGCGUAGGUGGCUUGAUAAGCCGGUUGUGAAAGCCCCGGGCUCAACCUGGGAACGGCAUCCGGAACUGUCAAGCUAGAGUGCAGGAGAGGAAGGUAGAAUUCCCGGUGUAGCGGUGAAAUGCGUAGAGAUCGGGAGGAAUACCAGUGGCGAAGGCGGCCUUCUGGACUGACACUGACACUGAGGUGCGAAAGCGUGGGUAGCAAACAGGAUUAGAUACCCCAGUAGUC
rnacentral:rRNA from 1 species